rnacentral:rRNA from 1 species
GAUGAACGCUGGCGGCGUGCUUAACACAUGCAAGUCGAACGGUGAAGCAGAGCUUGCUCUGUGGAUCAGUGGCGAACGGGUGAGUAACACGUGAGCAACCUGCCCCUGACUCUGGGAUAAGCGCUGGAAACGGCGUCUAAUACUGGAUAUGAGCUGCGACCGCAUGGUCAGCAGUUGGAAAGAUUUUUCGGUCUGGGAUGGGCUCACGGCCUAUCAGCUUGUUGGUGAGGUAAUGGCUCACCAAGGCGUCGACGGGUAGCCGGCCUGAGAGGGUGACCGGCCACACGGGGACUGAGACACGGCCCAGACGCCUACGGGAGGAAGCAGUGGGGAAUAUUGCACAAUGGGCGAAAGCGUGAUGCAGCAACGCCGCGUGAGGGAUGACGGCCUUAGGGUUGUAAACCUCUUUUAGCAGGGAAGAAGCGAAAGUGACGGUACCUGCAGAAAAAGCGCCGGCUAACUACGU